AUUGAACGCUGGCGGCAAGCCUAACACAUGCAAGUCGAAAGAGUGGCGGACGGGUGAGUAAUGUCUGGGAAACUGCCUGAUGGAGGGGGAUAACUACUGGAAACGGUAGCUAAUACCGCAUACCAUCGGAUGUGCCCAGAUGGGAUUAGCUAGUAGGUGGGGUAAAGGCUCACAUAGGCGACGAUCCCUAGCUGGUCUGAGAGGAUGACCAGCCACACUGGAACUGAGACAAGGUCCAGACUCCUACGGGAGGCAGCAUUGGGGAAUAUUGCACAAUGGGCGCAAGCCUGAUGCAGCCAUGCCGCGUGUAGGAAGAAGGCCUUCGUGUUGUAAAGUACUUUCAGCGGGGAGGCGUUACCCGCAGAAGAAGCACCGGCUAACUCCGUGCCAGCAGCCGCGGUAAUUC
rnacentral:rRNA from 1 species